GAAGAAACCAUUAGGGCUGCGUUAAUAUGGAGUAUUAAUCCAGACCAAUUAGUGUCGCCAAGGAAGCAGGGAACACCAACCAAAACACCUCUCUGUCUAAAAGACCUUCUUCAUUCUGCUUACAUAGCAAUUAAUUAGUCAGUACUUCUUUAAUUAGAAAGUCCUUCUUUAAUUUGACACGUUACCAGGUGACACUCCACUUACUCAAAUUACUGUUUAAUUAUAGCACACCCACGGAAACACAAGGACACAUACAUCUUGUCUGAGCGCCCCUCCCCGCGUGACAGGUCAGCGGUUGUGCGAGGAAACCGAAUGCGCGUUGGGGGCUGUGAUUGACAGGCAGUGUUGGCACGGUAACAGACAGGCAGGCACAUACGCACAAUCUCGGUGGAGCAGUUUCCUGUUGCAGCUGCCUGACCUCUAAACAGGCCAGACAAGCAGAGCCUCAGGACAGAGCAAGUGUUUUCCAGGGCAACACAUUCAGUCACCAGAGGCCCGCUGGAACCGUUGAACUGAAGAGGGUCGUUGUUGGUCGCCGGAUCAAAGGGAAGAGCGUUGAGUCCUGGAAGACAGAUGCCACUCGAUUAAAUGAGAGCAACGGAUCAGAAGCCCUACAUUACAGCAGCUCAACCAGAGGCCUGAAGAACCCUCAUCAGUCGGGAUCUAAUUCAGGCAGUGAUCCACACAUCAACAACACAACUAUUAUGAAGCACUGAAGGCUGCUUUCUGUACUUUUUAUCAAAGCGUUAAAUGGCAUAAAUGUUCUACCGCUGCGGUUCUGAAGGAACAUCAAGAUAUGUGAAGCUGUAUUCCCUUUUGCUCUGUGUGCCAAGACUCUGAAUGAGAUAUUU